GCCCUCCGCCUGCUCCCAGCCAUGGUGGCCUGGCGCUCGGCGUUCCUUGUCUGCCUCGCUUUCUCCUUGGCCACCCUGGUCCAGCGAGGAUCUGGGGACUUUGAUGAUUUUAACCUGGAGGAUGCAGUGAAAGAAACUUCCUCAGUAAAGCUGCCAGGUUGAUAGUUGUGGAACCAAGGCUUGGAGCCCUCAAGGAUCAUGCUCAGGCUGUGGAACUCCCUGGACCACGUGCCAUCUCCAGCAGAUCUGGGUGCAAGCCCAGGUUCACUAAUCACCAGGUCACAUGUGAGACCAUGUCCACCUCACCACCCUCAGCCUCCAAAGAAAAAGCCAUGGGACCACACCACCACCACCACAACCAAUAGGCCAGGAACCACCAGAGCUCCGGCAAAACCUCCAGGUAGUGGAUUGGACUUGGCUGAUGCUUUGGAUGAUCA
rnacentral:lncRNA from 1 species